AAAGAUUAAGCCAUGCAUGUCUAAGAACGCCGUUUCGGUUUUUCUGUAUAUAGCUCAUUACAACAGUACUAUUUACCUCGAUUAAUCCUACCUAGGAUACUUUCGAUAAUCCUGGAGUCAAUACCGUGUCCCUACGGGGAAAUGAGGUCACCAGCCUGCUUUGCAGUUUGUGUACCGUAUUAUCUGAAUUUCUUAUGAAACCGAGCGUUAGCUUCGGCAAAUCGUGCAAAGCACUGUCCCUUUAACUUGAGAUGGUAGUGUGGGGGACUACCAUGGUGAUUACGGGUAACGGGGUAUAAGGGUAUUACACCGGAGAGGAUGCCUUAGAUACGGCAACCACAUCUAAGGGAGGCAGCAGGCGCGCAAAUUACCACGUCUUAAAUCAAGGCGGUAGUGACGAAACGUAUCAAGCUAUUCUCUAUGAGAGUAUGCAUUGAAAUGGUUUUAAACCAAAACCUUGAAAGAGGAUCUAUGAGAGGGCAAGUCUGGUGCCAGCAGCCGCGGUAAUUCCAG
rnacentral:rRNA from 1 species